rnacentral:sRNA from 1 species
CGGCCGUGGCCCAGCUGUGGGAGGACGAGUGGGAGGUGCUGCUGAUCUCCCUGCAGGGCACAGCGCCAUUCCUGCAUGUGGGGGCCCUGGCAGCAGUCACCAUGCUCUCCUGGAUCGUGGCAGGACAGUUUGCCCGCGCAGAGCGGACCUCCUCCCAGGUGACCAUUCUCUGUACCUUCUUCACCGUGGUGUUUGCCCUCUACCUGGCCCCUCUCACCAUCUCCUCUCCCUGCAUCAUGGAGAAGAAGGACCUCGGCCCCAAGCCUGCUCUCAUUGGCCACCGUGGGGCCCCCAUGCUGGCUCCAGAGCACACACUCAUGUCCUUCCGGAAGGCCCUCGAGCAGAAGCUGUAUGGGCUCCAGGCUGACAUUACCAUCAGCCUGGACGGUGUGCCCUUCCUCAUGCACGACGCCACCCUGCGGCGCACCACCAAUGUGGAGGAGGAGUUCCCGGAGCUGGCCCGCAGGCCUGCCUCCAUGCUCAACUGGACCACCCUGCAGAGACUCAACGCUGGCCAGUGGUUCCUGAAGGUCUGGCUGCACCUGAUCCCAAUCUUAGGCAUGGAAAACACCAGCAGGGACUGCAAGGAGUGAGAGGUGCAAG